rnacentral:rRNA from 1 species
UACGUAGGGUGCAAGCGUUAAUCGGAAUUACUGGGCGUAAAGCGUGCGCAGGCGGUUUUGUAAGACUGUCGUGAAAUCCCCGGGCUCAACCUGGGAAUGGCGAUGGUGACUGCAAGGCUAGAGUUUGGCAGAGGGGGGUAGAAUUCCACGUGUAGCAGUGAAAUGCGUAGAUAUGUGGAGGAACACCGAUGGCGAAGGCAGCCCCCUGGGUCAAAACUGACACUGAGGCGCGAAAGCGUGGGUAGCGAACAGG